UAAGGAAACCAGAUAGUGUCUAUCAGCAUUGUCAUCUUUCAUCUACAAAAAUAAAUACAAGUCCAUAAAAGCUGACUAAUGGUGAUUUUAGUAAGUUUCAAAUUCAGCAAUCCCAAAAACUUUACAUGUCCUAUGUACAGCCACACAAUCGUUUCUUCUGUGAAUAUCCAGUGACUCAAAACAAGAGAAACAGGUAAAAGAAGACAAUAGGAGCUGAAAACUUUAUCUUGCGGCAUAUUAUUGGCUGGCUCAUUUCAAUAAAAAAUUAUAAGGGGGAACAGAAAAAGAAAAAGAAAUAGACCAAAGGUUUCCUUCUCUGUGGC
rnacentral:lncRNA from 1 species